GACUUCCCAUCCAAAGAAGUAUCAACUACAACUAAGACUAAAGAAAGGGUCACCAAUAAAGGUGGGGAAACCAUGUGUACACAUCCUAAGGAAGACUUGGAACCAAUAGCAAACAGCUGAGAAGCCUUGCUGCUGUUAGUCACCAAAUAGCCAAGUUGGAAGUACAUUUUACAUGUGCAUCACGUGGAACACAAGCCAACCGUGUGGCUUCCCUAAUUCAGCACAUUUUCAAUAAAGUGCACAUGAAACACAUGGCCUGGAAGGAGCUCCUACACGUUUGGAUUCUGCACGUUUUAAAUGUAGCUGAUGUAGCUUUCAUUGUACAUUUCCAAGCUCAUCUUUGCCUAUAAAAAGAGAGCUUCAUCAUUUGUAAACUCAACUUGAAUUGAAUAAAGAAAUGCUGUUGAAUUGGUUCCAGCCACUUCUUCUUCAAGUUCAUUGACUUGUGCCUUCUCAGCACACCUAUCUCUAGCUUCCUUCCCUCUUGGAAGGCUGUCUGAGCUAGAAACACUGCAAACACACCUCCAAAACCGCACCAAACCUUCCAUCGAACACCUGGUGUGCACCUCCGUUUGCCAUUCAUCCAACCAGUCCGCUGCGUCAUUCUGUCCAAGGAGCUGCUCCAUUCUUGAAGCUUGGAGUUGCUUCCAUCAUUUGGCAUCAAGAGCCUGGUUUUCCACUCACGCUUCAAGAGCUAAGUUGAUCUUACUUCCAUUCUAUGUUUGACCGUGUUGUGCAGUGCAGUGCUCACUGUUUCCAGAAUUUUUUUUCAUUUCUGUUUUGCUUCAAUUCGCAUUUGUAAUCAUUGUUCUUGUGUUUCCAAUUUUCCUUAAGUGUUCCUUCAUCAUUUUAAUCGGUGCAAAACCAUUGUUGAGUUCAAUUUCAACUUGCAAAUUCAAAAUCCAGUUAUGUCAUAGUCAUGUGCAUUGUGCAGUUUUCGUUUUACUGUUGCAUUGGUGUAAUCCAGUUCCAGCUUUCGUUUUUUCGUUUUCAUUGAGUUCAAUGCAGUGAUAGCUAUCCAUGGAUCAUAUAAAGCAUUGACAUAUUGUCUAGCUUUGACCAAAUGAGCUAAAGCAUUGACAACUAGUGUGUCUAUUUUGAAAAUCCUGCACAUAAUUUCCAAAUCUGGUGUAGUAGCUAUAUGCUGUUUCAGACCACAUUUAUUGGUUCUUAAACCUUGCACACGUUUGUUUAAUGAUCUUAAAUGUGUCUCAAGUGAUAGCAACUCAUAUUACUCUCAGAAAAGCAAACUGUGUGCUUGAGUUCAUCCAACUCUGAUUUCAAUUUUCUACAGCAAAAGUCAUUUUUAGCUUGAUCAAAUGCACACUGUGUUAUUCAGAUUUGCAGCUCAUGAAACUUUGGACAAGUUUGUUUAAUAUGUUUGACCAGUUUUCAACUGAUUCUAACUAUUUUUCAGUGCAUAAUUCCAAAAUUAAUGUUUGAGUUGAUUAAAUUCAGGUUUCCAAAACUGUCACAGUUUUUUAAAUCAAGUUUGUGCACCGUGCUUGACUUCUUUGUUGUGUCUUAGGCCAUUUAAUAUCUCCUAGCUAACAUUUUCCAGCUAGAAUCUAGUUGCUAGGACCUUUCUUACACGUUUUGUUGAUCCAUCCAGUUUUGAAUCUGUUGCAUUUUAAUUUCUGGUGCUUUUUUGUCCAAUUUUGCUGCAUAAGUGGCAACUACAAAAGUGAUUUUGAGAUUCUGUGUGCUUCUGUGGUGUUUGAAGGUUUGUGCACAUACAUUUGACCAUUUCAAACUUGUUCUCACUAUUCAUUUGGUGAAUUUUGAACCUAUAUGCACAAUCAGUUUCCAACCAUUGAAUUUGCUUAAUUUUUGUAAGUGGACCAGUGAGUUUCGGGUGUGGUCUAUUUCCUUUCUGUUUGACAGUUUGAACACCUUCAAUUUAAGCAUAUAGAGUUGCUUGAACCAUUAGUUUUGCCAUAAAACCACUGCAACUCAUUUUUGCAUCUCAAAGCACCAUUUUCAAACCAUUUUUCUGGUGCAGAAUGCCUUUUUUGUGUGCUGUUUGGCAUUAGCCAUAUUCUACUUUUCAUCUUUGGAUUGGCAAAAGCUGGGUUUAAGUUUCCAAAUACAUUUAUAUGCUUCUCCAAGUGUAUAGCAAUCAUAAAAAGCAAUUUAAACCCUGCAAUCCAGAUUUGAAAGGUCAAAAACCAGAAAACACAAAAUCUGAUGUUCUUUGUGGCAUUUCAUCAAACACUUUUGCAGUUUCAUCAAACAGUUUCGGAACACAAUUUCAUUACUGUUUUGAGUUUUUUCUUGCUUGUUUAAUCUGUUCUAGUGCCUCUCCUAGGUUCCUUUAGUGUCCCUCCUGUGUUUCAAAGCUUAAAUUCACUUGAAUUCAACUUGUUUGGCUUCUUUUUUGUGCCCAAAAACUGGUCUGCGAAAAUUAAAACUGGUGCAGCAGCUGAUUUGUUUGUUGACUGGUUUGGUGUUUGUUUUGGGUGCUGUGACGAAUUGGUGCAGCUGUUUUACCUCAGAUUCCUUGCUCCAAGAGGGUAGCAUCUUAGGAAGUGGAUGAGGUGUUAAAAGGGUUUCAAGCUUGGACUCCAAGAGCACUUUAACAUUGCUGGUCCAGCAACCAUUUCAGCAGCAAAAACACAUCACCUUUGGUCUUCAACCAAUCUGAACUAAUAUAUUUUUGAUCCAGGAUGAAAACAAAAACCAAAGUUGUGCUUCUUUCUUUCUUCCCGAUUUGAGGACAAAUCGUUUUUAAAGAGGGAGGGAAUGAUGGCAACCCCUUUAGCGACUUCCCAUCCAAAGAAGUAUCAACUACAACUAAGACUAAAGAAAGGGUCACCAAUAAAGGUGGGGAAACCAUGUGUACACAUCCUAAGGAAGACUUGGAACCAAUAGCAAACAGCUGAGAAGCCUUGCUGCUGUUAGUCACCAAAUAGCCAAGUUGGAAGUACAUUUUACAUGUGCAUCACGUGGAACACAAGCCAACCGUGUGGCUUCCCUAAUUCAGCACAUUUUCAAUAAAGUGCACAUGAAACACAUGGCCUGGAAGGAGCUCCUACACGUUUGGAUUCUGCACGUUUUAAAUGUAGCUGAUGUAGCUUUCAUUGUACAUUUCCAAGCUCAUCUUUGCCUAUAAAAAGAGAGCUUCAUCAUUUGUAAACUCAACUUGAAUUGAAUAAAGAAAUGCUGUUGAAUUGGUUCCA